CAAUUACAUCAAGAGAGAGCGUAAGCUCCACCAACCAGCCUAAUCGGGCAACGGUGGUUCAACGAUGAGACCGAAAGAGGAAUAACUUAAGUAGGUAACAAUACGAUUGGGC
rnacentral:ncRNA from 1 species